GCUCUGUCGCCCAGGCUGGAGUGCAGUGGCCUGAUCUCGACUCACUGCAACCUCCAUCUCCCGGGUUCAAGUGAUUCUCAUGCCUCAGCCUCCCUAGUCCACCACCACACAUGACCAAUUUUUGUAUUUUUUGUAGAGAUGGGGUUUCACCAUAUUGGCCAGGCUGGUCUCGAACUUCUGGCCUCAAGCGAUCCACCCACCUAGCCUCCCAAAGUGCUGGGAUUACAGGUGUGAGCCACCACACUGGGGUCCAUAACUGAUAUUUUUAAAAGCAGAAUUCUAACUUCCUUGCUGUUUUUCUGCCUUAUUCAUAACCCAAUGGGAAAUCUCCUCAUGAUGUCUUAAGAAUUAGUAUGGUCUCACUUUUUGGAAAUGGUUUGGUGAUAGUCCUUCCAGAAAGAGGAAGGUGUGGAAUACAUGAUUGAUCUUCCAUCCUGUAACUGUAUUUUUAAAACAUCCUGAAAAAUUGAGGCAUCCGUUUGAGUAAUUUCAAGAUGGGAGGUGGGAUGGACAUCUCUACUUUCAUCUGAGUUACCCAAAGUAGAUCUUGCAGCAAUUUUUUUCCUCGGUGAUCCAGAUAAUCAUUUCGAUUUUUUUCUCUCCCUCCUGUGGAAAUGUAAAAUUUAUUACAGUGCAGUGUUUUUCUUACACUUGAUUUUAGGACAGAUAAACUGUAAUAUACUUUCUUAAUCCAUUUGGGCUGGACUAACAAAAUGCUAUAAGCUUACUAGCUUAUAAACUACAGAAAUUUAUUUCUCAGCUCUGGAGGCUGAGAAGUACAAAAUCAAGGAACCAGCAGAUUCAGUGUCUGGUGAGGGCCUGAUUUCUGGUUCACAGAUAGCACCUUCUAGCUGUGUAGAAGUUGAAAGGGAUUUCUCUUGGGCCUCUUUUAUAACGACACUAAUCCCGUUCAUGAGGAGUUCACUCUUGUCACCUAAUCACCUCCCAAAGGCCCCAUUUCCUUAUGAUGCCAUCCCCUUAGGGGUUAGGAUUUCAACCUAUGAAUUUUGGAGGGACACAAACAUUCAGACCAUGGCAUACACAUUUUGAUAAAACGUUAAUGUGCAUGAUUUCAGAUAUUCACUAAUGUUUUCUUUUUCCAAACUGGUCACUUUAAUUUCCUCAAUUUCCAUCACCAAUAGAGCUCUCAUGCUUUUUUUUUUUUUUUGAGCUGGAAUCUGGCUCUGUCGCAGCAGUGCAAUCUCGGCUUACUGCAACGGGCUCCGCCUCCCAGGUUCAAGCAAUUCCAAGCAGUUGGGAUUACAGGCGCCCGCCACCACACUCAGCUAAUUUGUUGUUGUUGUUCUUUUAGUAGAGAUGGGGGUUUCACCAUCUCGGCCAGGCUGGUCUUGAACUCCUGACCUAGUGAUCCACCCACCUCGGCCUCCCAAAGUGCUGAGAUUACAGGCAUGAGCCACUGUGCGCAGCCAGAACUCUAAUUCUUUACUACUUUCCCUUUAAGAGAAGGAAGGGAUAAUGACAAAAGCUAGGCAUGUUUACGGAAUAAAAGAAAAAUUACCAAAUGCUUCCUUAGAAUAUUCUUGUGAAAACUGGUGAGCAAGGAUCUCUUAUUCUGCUAGUGACGGUAGUGGUGAUUAUGUGUGAAAGGGGUUUUUGUUUUUUUUUUUUUUGAGGGGAUUAAAAAGUUACUUAAUAUUUUUCCAGUGAAAAUAAGCAUCUUCACAGCUCAAGAUGUGGCGUCGUCACCUGUAGGCAUACAGGAACUGCCGCAGUGAUCUGUGUGUCUUCAUAAAUCUCUUUGCCUUCUCCAAGGAAACACAGAGAAUAAUGAUUCAGUUAUAUAUAAAUGCCUUUUUAAACGAUAAUAAAACUGAAGCUGUACACAGUGGCUCACACCUGUAAUCCCAGCACUUUGGGAGGCCGGGACAGGCGGAUCACUUGAGGCCAGGAGUUCAAGACCAGUCUGACCAACAUGGUGAAACCCCAUCUCUACUAAAAAUACAAAAAUUAGCCAGGCAUGGUGCGCCUGUAAUGCCAGCUACUCGGAAGGCUGAAGCACGAGAAACACUUGACCCCAAGAGGUGGAUCACACCACUGCACGCCAGCUUGUGUGACAGAGAAAGACUCCUUGUCCCCGCUUUCCAAAAAGAGAGAAAGAGAGAGAUAGGAGACCUCUCUUUCUCUGCUUUGAAGAUACAAGAAAAAUGUUGCUGUCUGCAAACCAGGAAGAGGGCCCCACUGGACACUGAGUCUGCCAAGACCUUGAUCUUGAAGGUCUUCCCCAGGCUUCAGAACUAUGAGAAAUAAAUUUCUAUUGUAAAGCCAUCCAGUCUGUGGUAUUUUUGUAGCAACCUAAGAAGAUUGACAUUAGCUUUUGUUAUUAGCUAUAUUUCAGCCAAAUGAGUCUUCUAAUCUGUAGUGUUAUUCUUCAGCUUGUGAUGGUACGGCUCUUUGUACUAAGGCAAUUUUUUUUGUAUAUACUAAAUUGAGUUGGAAAGCUAUUGUGCCUCUGCAUGAUACACUUUUUAAUUUUUUCUAGAAUAUUUCUUUAGUUACAGUAAUAAAAGCAUGUUUAUUUGACA